AAAAGACUUAGUCCUAACCUUUCUAUUGGUUUUUGCUAGACAUAUACCUGCAAGUAUCCGCAUCCCAGUGAAAAUGCCCCCAAACCUUUCUUCCCAAGCAAAAGGAGCAGGUAUCAGGCACACUCAGCAGUAGCCCAAGACGCCUUGCUUAAGCCACACCCCCACGGGUACUCAGCAGUAAUUAACCUUAAGCAAUAAGUGUAAACUUGACUUAGCCAUAGCAACCCAGGGUUGGUAAAUCUUGUGCCAGCCACCGCGGUCAUACAAGAAACCCAAAUCAAUAGCUACCCGGCGUAAAGAGUGGCCACAUGUUAUCUGCACCAGCUAAGAUUAAAAUGCAACCAAGCUGUCAUAAGCCUAAGAUCCACCUAAACCCAACCCAAAUCCAUCUUAGCCUCAACGAUUAAUUUUAACCCACGAAAGCUAGGACCCAAACUGGGAUUAGAUACCCCACUAUGCCUAGCCCUAAAUCUAGAUACCUCCCAUCACACAUGUAUCCGCCUGAGAACUACGAGCACAAACGCUUAAAACUCUAAGGACUUGGCGGUGCCCCAAACCCACCUAGAGGAGCCUGUU
rnacentral:rRNA from 1 species